CGGGGUGCACCAGGCGCGAAAACUUUACAAUGCCGGCAACGGCGAUAAGGGAACCUCGAGUGCCAGGUUACAAAUCUGGCUGUCGUGAUGCCUAAAAAGCAUUGCAUAGCAAGGGCCGGGCAAGACCGGUGCCAGCCGCCGCGGUAACACCGGCGGCUCGAGUGGUAACCGUCAUUAUUGGGUCUAAAGGGUCUGUAGCCGGCCGGGUAAGUCUCUUGGGAAAUCUGGCAGCUUAACUGUCAGGCUUUCAGGAGAUACUGCCUGGCUCGAGGCCGGGAGAGGUGAGAGGUACUUCAGGGGUAGGGGUGAAAUCUUGUAAUCCUUGAAGGACCACCAGUGGCGAAGGCGUCUCACCAGAACGGACCUGACGGCAAGGGACGAAAGCUAGGGGCACGAACCGGAUUAGAUACCCGGGUAGUCCUAGCCGUAAACGAUACUCGCUAGGUGUCGGCCACGGUGCGACCGUGGUCGGUGCCGUAGGGAAGCCGUGAAGCGAGCCACCUGGGAAGUACGGCCGCAAGGCAGAAACUUAAAGGAAUUGGCGGGGGAGCAC
rnacentral:rRNA from 1 species